CAUUGCAUCUGCAUCCUUCCUCUCUCUGCCUGGAUGGACCAUCUCUGCUCCUGUCAAAAGCGAAGCCCUCCCAUCCUGUCUCAGCUGAAAGAUCUACUAAAAGAGGAGCGGAUCACAUGGGAUGAAGGGCGGAGCUCAGUGGCUUAGGAUGACGGAGCAGAAGGAUUCACUGCGGAAAGCUGGCUUGGCUUGGUGCUCAUCUGCCCCUGAGUGAGCUAAGCUCAUCUGCUUUUUGCCUUCUGUCAAGUCAGCUCUUCUCUGAAUUCAAGUAGAAGUAUGAGAAUUUCUUGCCACCUCGGGCUGGAAGUUUGCUGUUAUCACCGCUUGAGAUACCACAAGCAGACUGUAUUUCCAAACGGAAAGCAGCCCUCUCAACGCCUGCCCCGCCAGGGCAGGGCAGACAGGCACUGGGGACACCAGGGGGGUUUGCCAUCUCAGGUGGCGUCUGCGGAGAGUGAGUGCGAAGCAGCAGGAGCUCAGAUGUCGCCACGUAGCAGAAGCGCCUGGAUCAGCUGCUGGGUCUGCACGUGUGUUGAUACAUCCCUUCCUAGGCCACCUGGACGUUGUCAAUCAACAACAAGCAUUUGAUGACCGACCCUACUGUGGAGUCAGCACUGUCAGCCUCUACCCCUUUCUCGUUUUCUAGCUGAUGCUAUUUGAGGCAUAUAUAAGGGGUGAGAGCCUGGUGCCCAUUUCCCUGGGGGGCCUGGGGCCUGAGCUCACCACUCUGCACCCCGACGAUGACAACUCCAUCAAAGUCGACUGCCUCCCUUCGGGACCCCACCACCGUGGUGGAGCAGAAGAUACAUGAUUCGCUGCAGUAAGAUACAGACACAGUGCGCGGGACGUGGAGAUGUGCUGCCCAGACGGCCCCUCCGGGGAGGAGUGUGGACAGCAGACUGUUGUCAGCUGUUAGCCCUUCCAGGUCUGCCUCAGCUGCAGAGAGCUGCCCCGCCCCCCGCCGCCAAGGCCAUGUCCACAUCCAGUGACUGACUGAGGCAGGUGUAUAAAGGCCUGGCUAUCUGGCCCAGGGCCCGACAACUCAGAUGGGCCUCCCAGUCUUUUGGUCUCUUUGUUCUCUUCUUUUCAGAGGUGCUAAUCCUAAAGGCCUUCCCCAAUAAACACCCACAGCCUUAAUUCUGUUUCAGAGUCUGCUUCCUAGAGAACCCCACUUGCAACACAUGAGUUUGAAUUUCAGCUGGACUAAUUAGGAGGUCUGUGACCUGGGGGAGGCAAGAACUUGU